UACGUAGGGUGCAAGCGUUAAUCGGAAUUACUGGGCGUAAGCGUGCGCAGGCGGUUUUGUAAGCCAGAUGUGAAAUCCCCGGGCUCAACCUGGGAAUGGCAUUUGGGACUGCAAGGCUGGAGUGCCGGCAGAGGAGACUGGAAUUCCUGGUGUAGCAGUGAAAUGCGUAGAUAUCAGGAGGAAUACCGAUGGCGAAGGCAGGUCUCUGGGCUGACACUGACGCUCAUGCACGAAAGCGUGGGGA
rnacentral:rRNA from 1 species